rnacentral:rRNA from 1 species
UAGGGAAUCUUCGGCAAUGGGGGCAACCCUGACCGAGCAACGCCGCGUGAGUGAAGAAGGUUUUCGGACCGUAAAGCUCUGUUGUAAGAGAAGAACGAGUGUGAGAGUGGAAAGUUCACACUGUGACGGUAACUUACCAGAAAGGGACGGCUAACUACGUGCCAGCAGCCGCGGUAAUACGUAGGUCCCGAGCGUUAUCCGGAUUUAUUGGGCGUAAAGCGAGCGCAGGCGGUUAGAUAAGUCUGAAGUUAAAGGCUGUGGCUUAACCAUAGUACGCUUUGGAAACUGUUUAACUUGAGUGCAGAAGGGGAGAGUGGAAUUCCAUGUGUAGCGGUGAAAUGCGUAGAUAUAUGGAGGAACACCGGUGGCGAAAGCGGCUCUCUGGUCUGUAACUGACGCUGAGGCUCGAAAGCGUGGGGAGCAAACAGGAUUAGAUACCCUGGUAGUCCACGCCGUAAACGAUGAGUGCUAGGUGUUGGGUCCUUUCCGGGACUCAGUGCCGCAGCUAACGCAUUAAGCACUCCGCCUGGGGAGUACGACCGCAAGGUUG